rnacentral:misc_RNA from 1 species
AGAUGGAUCAUUCAUUACAAUCUAAUACCGCAUUGAUCAGAUUGUCCUGCAAUAACAAUUCUCGCCGAACAUCAUUAUAUUUUAAUAUUCGAAAUUCAUUUUCAGAAUCCUUCUGUGGUGGAUGUCUUGGAUUCCUCAUCGAAGAAGAACGCAGCAAAACGCGAAACGCGGGGUGAUCUGCAAUUCUUGUGAACCACUUGGUUUUUGAAUGCGAAAGGUACCUCGAUUCAUCGGGGUAUGUUCGUGUCAGAGUGUCUUCCUUUGUUGUUCUACGAUAGUGAACGACGUAAACAAUGACCGGAAUUCGGCGUUUUGCUUCUUAUUCCUAGGCAUUGAUAUUCGCAUGUCAAUCAUGGUGAAACGCUAUGAAAAGAAGACUACUUAACAUCUCGGCACCUGACAUCGAGCGUGACAACCCGCUGAAUUUAAGCAUAUUAGUCAGCGGAGGAAAAGAAACUUUCUAGAAUCCUCCUAGUAUUGGCGAAUGAAACGAGGACAGCUCAGUGUGGUAAACGUAGUAUCCCAUUACUACGUAUUGUAGCACGGCUCGUAGCCGCAGGUUUUUACGAUGUAAUCUCUUUGAAAUGAGAAACCGUAGAGGGUGAUAGUCCCUGUAACGGUCGUAGACUCCCUGGUUUGGUUGCGUAGCGAACAGAGUCGCACUCCUUGGAAGUGGAGUGUCAAUCGGCGGUAAACUUCGCCUAAAGCUAAAUAUUUGAGGAAUACCGAUAGCGCACAAGUACCGUGAGGGAAAGAUGAAAACAACUUUGGAAAGAGAGUUAAAAGAAGCUGAAACCACAGAAGGGGAAGGAGAAAGGACGACAUACGUAGUGAGGGCGCGAAGUUUUCGCUUCGGGUGUUCCUCAUUUCCGUACUGCGGGUGCUUGAUGGUUUUCCUACUGUGAUUCUACGGAUUUACAUUCUGGUUAACCGGUCGAGUAUAAGUGUUAUCACGUUUCCGCUGUUGUUGCUUUUCUCACCCGUCUUGAAACACGGACCAAGGAGUCUAAAUCUUGUGCGAGUCAUCUGGUUUUAAGCCAGACGGCGUAAUGAAAGUGAUUGUUGCUAUCAGCGACGUCCAUCUUUCGAUGAGAGCGAGCAUGGGGUUUAGGACCCGAAAGAUGGUGAACUAUGCUUGAGUAGGGUGAAGCCAGGGGAAACUUUGGUGGAAGCUCAUAGCGAUACUGACGUGCAAAUCGUUCGUCAAACUUGAGUAUAGGGGCGAAAGACUAAUCGAACCAUCUAGUAGCUGGUUCCCUU